CAUUAUCGCGCGAUUUUUAUGUGUAUCUAUCAUUUUUCUCAUUCUAACAUUCAGAAAAUUUUUCUCUCUGCCUCAGUAAACUAUUAUUUAAACUAUUUGAAAUCGUAACACACGCACGCUUCCGCGUGAGCACGGACAACGAUAGAAGCAAUAUUCAAUUGGUUGGAGUGCCGAAAACAACAGAACUGGAGGAGAAAGAAAGCAGGAACGACCAUUCAACGCGCUAGCGUCGGAGAAGCGGCAGGGGGGCAGGAACUUGUCCAACGUGCUAGCGCCUGAUAGAGGAGAAGCAGCAGGAAGGUAGGGACGAUCCUCCAGCGCGCUAGCGCAGCAUGUGGGAACAGCGAGAGGGAGGCAAGCAGGAAGAAUUUUUAUCGCGUGCACACCAUUCGACGAAGACAACGCUGGAUAAAAGGAAGAACGAGGAGAGAAUGCUGGCAAGACGGGUACGUGUGUAUCCCGCACCGGUUUUCGGCAGUAUGAAUUGUGUGAGUAUUGGAAAGUGGAUGUGCGAGUAAAGAGAUAAAAA